rnacentral:rRNA from 1 species
AACGAACGCUGGCGGCGUGCUUAACACAUGCAAGUCGAACGGGAAGGCCCUUCGGGGUACUCGAGUGGCGAACGGGUGAGUAACACGUGGGUGAUCUGCCCUGCACUUUGGGAUAAGCCUGGGAAACUGGGUCUAAUACCGGAUAGGACUACGGCCUUCAUGGGUUGUGGUGGAAAGCUUUUGCGGUGUGGGAUGGGCCCGCGGCCUAUCAGCUUGUUGGUGGGGUAAUGGCCUACCAAGGCGACGACGGGUAGCCGGCCUGAGAGGGUGACCGGCCACACUGGGACUGAGAUACGGCCCAGACUCCUACGGGAGGCAGCAGUGGGGAAUAUUGCACAAUGGGCGCAAGCCUGAUGCAGCGACGCCGCGUGAGGGAUGACGGCCUUCGGGUUGUAAACCUCUUUCAGCAGGGACGAAGCGCAAGUGACGGUACCUGUAGAAGAAGGACCGGCCAACUACGUGCCAGCAGCCGCCGUAAGAC